rnacentral:rRNA from 1 species
GACGUAGGGCGCGAGCGUUGUCCGGAUUUAUUGGGCGUAAAGAGCUCGUAGGCGGCUUGUCGCGUCGACUGUGAAAACCCACGGCUCAACUGUGGGCUUGCAGUCGAUACGGGCAGGCUAGAGUUCGGUAGGGGAGACUGGAAUUCCUGGUGUAGCGGUGGAAUGCGCAGAUAUCAGGAGGAACACCAAUAGCGAAGGCAGCUCGCUGGGACGGUACUGACGCUAAGGCGCGAAAGCGUGGGGAGCGAACAGG